rnacentral:rRNA from 1 species
AUACAUGCAGUCGAGCGAACGGACGAGAAGCUUGCUUCUCUGAUGUUAGCGGCGGACGGGUGAGUAACACGUGGAUAACCUACCUAUAAGACUGGGAUAACUUCGGGAAACCGGAGCUAAUACCGGAUAAUAUUUUGAACCGCAUGGUUCAAAAGUGAAAGACGGUCUUGCUGUCACUUAUAGAUGGAUCCGCGCUGCAUUAGCUAGUUGGUAAGGUAACGGCUUACCAAGGCAACGAUGCAUAGCCGACCUGAGAGGGUGAUCGGCCACACUGGAACUGAGACACGGUCCAGACUCCUACGGGAGGCAGCAGUAGGGAAUCUUCCGCAAUGGGCGAAAGCCUGACGGAGCAACGCCGCGUGAGUGAUGAAGGUCUUCGGAUCGUAAAACUCUGUUAUUAGGGAAGAACAUAUGUGUAAGUAACUGUGCACAUCUUGACGGUACCUAAUCAGAAAGCCACGGCUAACUACGUGCCAGCAGCCGCGGUAAUACGUAGGUGGCAAGCGUUAUCCGGAAUUAUUGGGCGUAAAGCGCGCGUAGGCGGUUUUUUAAGUCUGAUGUGAAAGCCCACGGCUCAACCGUGGAGGGUCAUUGGAAACUGGAAAACUUGAGUGCAGAAGAGGAAAGUGGAAUUCCAUGUGUAGCGGUGAAAUGCGCAGAGAUAUGGAGGAACACCAGUGGCGAAGGCGACUUUCUGGUCUGUAACUGACGCUGAUGUGCGAAAGCGUGGGGAUCAAACAGGAUUAGAUACCCUGGUAGUCCACGCCGUAAACGAUGAGUGCUAAGUGUUAGGGGGUUUCCGCCCCUUAGUGCUGCAGCUAACGCAUUAAGCACUCCGCCUGGGGAGUACGACCGCAAGGUUGAAACUCAAAGGAAUUGACGGGGACCCGCACAAGCGGUGGAGCAUGUGGUUUAAUUCGAAGCAACGCGAAGAACCUUACCAAAUCUUGACAUCCUUUGACAACUCUAGAGAUAGAGCUUUCCCCUUCGGGGGACAAAGUGACAGGUGGUGCAUGGUUGUCGUCAGCUCGUGUCGUGAGAUGUUGGGUUAAGUCCCGCAACGAGCGCAACCCUUAAGCUUAGUUGCCAUCAUUAAGUUGGGCACUCUAAGUUGACUGCCGGUGACAAACCGGAGGAAGGUGGGGAUGACGUCAAAUCAUCAUGCCCCUUAUGAUUUGGGCUACACACGUGCUACAAUGGACAAUACAAAGGGCAGCGAAACCGCGAGGUCAAGCAAAUCCCAUAAAGUUGUUCUCAGUUCGGAUUGUAGUCUGCAACUCGACUACAUGAAGCUGGAAUCGCUAGUAAUCGUAGAUCAGCAUGCUACGGUGAAUACGUUCCCGGGUCUUGUACACACCGCCCGUCACACCACGAGAGUUUGUAACACCCGAAGCCGGUGGAGUAAC